AGAGUUUGAUCCUGGCUCAGGAUGAACGCUGGCGGCGUGCCUAAUACAUGCAAGUCGAGCGAACGGACGAGAAGCUUGCUUCUCUGAUGUUAGCGGCGGACGGGUGAGUAACACGUGGAUAACCUACCUAUAAGACUGGGAUAACUUCGGGAAACCGGAGCUAAUACCGGAUAAUAUUUUGAACCGCAUGGUUCAAAAGUGAAAGACGGUCUUGCUGUCACUUAUAGAUGGAUCCGCGCUGCAUUAGCUAGUUGGUAAGGUAACGGCUUACCAAGGCAACGAUGCAUAGCCGACCUGAGAGGGUGAUCGGCCACACUGGAACUGAGACACGGUCCAGACUCCUACGGGAGGCAGCAGUAGGGAAUCUUCCGCAAUGGGCGAAAGCCUGACGGAGCAACGCCGCGUGAGUGAUGAAGGUCUUCGGAUCGUAAAACUCUGUUAUUAGGGAAGAACAUAUGUGUAAGUAACUGUGCACAUCUUGACGGUACCUAAUCAGAAAGCCACGGCUAACUACGUGCCAGCAGCCGCGGUAAUACGUAGGUGGCAAGCGUUAUCCGGAAUUAUUGGGCGUAAAGCGCGCGUAGGCGGUUUUUUAAGUCUGAUGUGAAAGCCCACGGCUCAACCGUGGAGGGUCAUUGGAAACUGGAAAACUUGAGUGCAGAAGAGGAAAGUGGAAUUCCAUGUGUAGCGGUGAAAUGCGCAGAGAUAUGGAGGAACACCAGUGGCGAAGGCGACUUUCUGGUCUGUAACUGACGCUGAUGUGCGAAAGCGUGGGGAUCAAACAGGAUUAGAUACCCUGGUAGUCCACGCCGUAAACGAUGAGUGCUAAGUGUUAGGGGGUUUCCGCC
rnacentral:rRNA from 4 species